rnacentral:lncRNA from 1 species
GGCGAGGCUGCCAAGGCUCCCCCGCUGCCGCCGCGCUCGGCUUGGCCCGGCGCCGGCAGCCAGAGGAGGAAGGCUAGAGAAUUUUAUUCUGUUGGAGAAUAGAACCCUGGUGGUUGCUUGCACAGAGGGGAAAAGCAGAGAGGAGUACGGGAAUCGUCCUGUGCAAUCUAUUGUUUGAAACUUACUUUAUAUCAGAAAUUGAAGAUGAAAACGGAAAAGAAAUGGAGCAAUUUCAGUAACUAUCCUAUCUAACAUCUGUCUCAUAUCUUAAGGAAUAUUACAAAUACUUGCUUUGAAUUGAGAAAAUGACUGCAGCUAUAGAAGAAAGUACCAGUCCAGAAAGUGGAA